GUGAACGCUGGCGGCAGGCCUAACACAUGCCAGUCGAACGGCAGCACCAGAGAGCUUGCUCUCUGGGUGGCGAGUGGCGGACGGGUGAGGAAUGCAUCGGAAUCUGCCCAUUUGUGGGGGAUAACCUCGGGAAACCGGGACUAAUACCGCAUACGACCUACGGGUGAAAGCAGGGGAUCUUCGGACCUUGCGCAGAUGGAUGAGCCGAUGCCGGAUUAGCUAGUUGGAGGGGUAAAGGCCCACCAAGGCGACGAUCCGUAGCUGGUCUGAGAGGAUGAUCAGCCACACUGGGACUGAGACACGGCCCAGACUCCUACGGGAGGCAGCAGUGGGGAAUAUUGGACAAUGGGCGCAAGCCUGAUCCAGCCAUGCCGCGUGUGUGAAGAAGGCCUUCGGGUUGUAAAGCACUUUUGUUGGGAAAGAAAAGCAGCCGGUUAAUACCCGGUUGUCAUGACGGUACCCAAAGAAUAAGCACCGGCUAACUUCGUG
rnacentral:rRNA from 1 species